rnacentral:tRNA from 1 species
GCCCGGGUGAUGGAAUGGUAGACAUAGCGGACUUAAAAUCCGCUGUCCGAGAGGACGUACCGGUUCGAGUCCGGUUCUGGGCACCA